rnacentral:misc_RNA from 1 species
AGCAGCCGCGGUAAUUCCAGCUCCAAUAGCGUAUAUUAAAGUUGUUGCAGUUAAAAAGCUCGUAGUUGAAUUUCGGGAUCAAUAUGUUGGUCGUGCCUCGGUACGUACUAGCUUAUUGGUUUCUCCUUUCUGAAGAACCAUGAUGUCAUUUAUUUGGUGUCGUGGGGAAUCAGGACUGUUACUUUGAAAAAAUUAGAGUGUUUAAAGCAGGCUCACGCUUGAAUACAUUAGCAUGGAAUAAUGAAAUAGGACGUUUGAUUCUAUUUUGUUGGUUUCUAGGAUCGACGUAAUGAUUAAUAGGGAUAGUUGGGGGCAUUAGUAUUCAAUUGUCAGAGGUGAAAUUCUUGGAUUUAUUGAAGACUAACUACUGCGAAAGCAUUUGCCAAGGAUGUUUUUAUUAAUCAAGAACGAAAGUUAGGGGAUCGAAGACGAUCAGAUACCGUCGUAGUCUUAACCAUAAACUAUGCCGACUAGGGAUCGGAUGAUGUUAAUUUUUUAAUGACUCAUUCGGCGCCUUACG